GAUACGUAGACUUAGGAGGAUCGUAUGUUGGACCAUCUCAAAAUCAUCUCUUCAGAUUGUCCAAGGAAUUGGGAGUAGAAAACUACAUAAUAGAAGAGAAUGAAAAGCUCUUAUUUUAUUCUAAAGGAAAAAGAUAUCCUUAUCUUGCAGCAUCUCCAGUGUCUUUUUGGAAUCCAUUGGUACAAAUGGAUGUUAAUAAUUUCUUAAGAACUAUCGAUAAAAUGGGCGAAGAGAUUCCUGUCAAUGAACCUUGGAAAGCACCACAUGCCGAGGAAUGGGAUACUAUGACUUAUCACGAUUUUUGUGAAAAGAUCUGUUAUACAAGGCAGGGUAAAGCUAUAGCUAAUAUUCUUAUUGAAUUAUAUAUGGUUUCUUCAAGUUACGAAAGUUCACUUUUAUGGAUUUUAUGGUACACCAAACUAUGUCAGGGCACAAUGAAAAUGAUGAAUGUAUCAAACGGAGGACAAGAAAGAAAAUUCGUUGGAGGAAGUCAACAAAUAAGUGAACGUAUUGCAGCUAGAUUGGGAGAUGCAGUAAAAAUGAAUUCACCAGUUGUAAACAUAAUUCAAAAGAACGAAGAAGUAAUAGUGAAAACGUUAAAUGGAAAUACAUAUACAGCAAAUUUUGUAAUUUUGGCCAUUCCACCUAUUUUACAAAUGAAAAUUCAUUACGAUCCACCACUUCCUGCUGUAAGAAAUCAAAUGAUCCAAAGAUGUCCAAUGGGAUCUGUCAUGAAAUGCAUCUUAUAUUAUCGAACGCAGUUCUGGAGACAAAAAGGUUACUGUGGUUCAACUUUGGUUGAUACGGAUGAUGGCAAUCCAAUUGCUGCUACAUAUGAUGACACUAAACCCGAUGGAAGCUAUCCAGCCUUGAUAGGAUUUGUAGGAGCAGACAAAGUACGAAAUUUAACUCCUCUUUCAAAAGAAGAAAGAAAGAACAUUUUUGCCAAAUGUCUUUAUAAUGUGUUCGGCUUGAGUGAAUUUCUAGAGCCAAUACAUUACGAAGAAUAUAAUUGGAUGGAAGAACAAUAUUCGGGAGGUUGUUACACGGCUAUGUUUCCCCCGGGAUUUUUAACCAGAUAUGGAAAGAACAGAAACUGGAACUACUUGGACGGGAUAUAUGGAAGGUGCUAUUCAAGCAGGAGAAAGAGCUGCUAGAGAGGUACUUUAUGCAAUGGGAAAGAUUCGAGAAGAAGAAAUAUGGCAAACAGAAGCUCCCGCAAAUGAUGUGGUUGAUCUUCCAUUUAAACGAACGUGGUGGGAAAGAAAUCAACCUUCCGUUCCAGGCUUCUUCCGUUUAUUAGGCUUUACAAUAUUCACAGGAUUAGCCGUUUCGAUGAUUUACAAAUGCAGGCAUCGUUUUCAAU
rnacentral:misc_RNA from 1 species